AGGUGGUGGCUCAGUGGUAAGAGCUUAAGACCAAGACUCUAUGGUCUCAGGUUCGAGUCCUGGGUUGCUCA